rnacentral:tRNA from 2 species
UCUUCAAUAGCUCAAUUGGUAGAGCAUAUGGCUGUUAACCAUAGAGGUGUUGGUUCGAGUCCAAUUUGGGGAG